rnacentral:tRNA from 1 species
GCCGGGGUGGCCGAGCGGUCAAAGGCGGCGGGCUGCAGUGCCUAGCACCCGCCCAUCGUGGAAACCCGUUGAUCCCGGGUUCAAAUCCCGGCCCCGGCU